rnacentral:lncRNA from 10 species
AGAAUGAUCACACCCUGUGGCCAGGCCCAGCCUUGCCAGGGGAGUUCUCCAGAUGCCCUCUCUGAUGGCAGCAGCCCUGCAGAUGCACAUGUGUACCCCCACAGCUGUCUGCUUACCCCACCCGUGAGCCAGUGUACACCUAAGCUCUGUGCCCUUCCCACAAAGUGGAGCACCAUGCCAGUUUUGGAACCGCGCAGAGGAUGAGAAUCAGGCCUCUGAGAGUGGGCUAGAAAGGAAGCUCAGAGGCCAUCUGGAGAACGGAGUGCACAUGUGUGUAUGUGCAUGUGUGUGAAUCAGUAUAUGUGGAUGUUGUGUAAUCCCAGCUGUGUGCAUGACUGUUUUGCUUGUGAGUUGAUGUAGGAGAUGGUGCAGUCCUGUUGUGUCAGAACCUGGCUGGGAGACCUCACAUCCCCACAUCGGCACCCAUGUUCUCACAGGUUAGUGUCUAAGGUGGGAUGCUGUGUCUUUAGAAAUGGCCAUAAGUUAGUGUCUGUCUAAUGUGGGACGCUGUGUCUUUAGAAAUGGCCAUAAGUUAGUGUCUGUCUAAUGUGGGACGCUGUGUCUUUAGAAAUGGCCAUAGGUUAGCGUCUGUCUAAGAUGGGAUGCUGUGUCUUUAGAAAUGGCCAUAGGUUAGCGUCUGUCUAAGAUGGGAUGCUGUGUCUUUAGAAAUGGCCAUAGGUUAGCGUCUGUCUAAGAUGGGAUGCUGUGUCUUUAGAAAUGGCCAUAGGUUAGCGUCUGUCUAAGAUGGGAUGCUGUGUCUUUAGAAAUGGCCAUAGGUUAGCAUCUGUCUAAGAUGGGAUGCUGUGUCUUUAGAAAUGGCCAUAGGUUACUCUCUGUCUAAGAUGGGAUGCUGUGUCUUUAGAAAUGGCCAUAGGUUACUCUCUGUCUAAGAUGGGAUGCUGUGUCUUUAGAAAUGGCCAUAGGUUACUCUCUGUCUAAGAUGGGAUGCUGUGUCUUUAGAAAUGGCCAUAGGUUAGCGUCUGUCUCAGAUGGGAUGCUGUGUCUUUAGAAAUGUCUUCUUGUGCAGUGCACACCCUGAGAACCCAUACUUGGUGGCUCUGCUUGCUCUGACUCGAUAUUUAGAAAUCAGUCUAAGUUGUACCUCCUCUAGGUAACCUGACAUCCAUUCACCCAGACACACAUCUCCUCUGUGCUCCCUUAGUACCUGGGACCUGCCUUUAGCUUAGUUGCCUAUUGUAGACCUUAAGAACUCUGGCUCUGGAGUCAAACUGAUAGGAAGUGGAAUUGUGGUUCACUGCUGUGUAAUCCAGGUAAAGCUCUUAACCGCUCUGAGUCUCAACUUCCUCUAUCCACCUCCCCUUUUCCCCCCAGUGACAAAGCCAAUGACUACUUCUUCCUCUUCUUUACUUGGAAACUGAACUCCAAGCUCCUGAUUGGGACAUUUCUUAUUCCUCUUUGUGCUCCCAGGGCUGAAGGACUAAUUACAAUGUUAUUGACUUAACCUCCAUUGGCACUGGGCAUUGCCCUGUAAAAGGACAUCAGAGUGUGGGGUCUGACAUGGGGCACCAAACAAAGCCAUAGGCAAGAGCACAUCACAUUGUUGAAUUUGCCUGUUUGGUUCUCAGAAUCUCAAAAUAGUUUUUGAUAAAAGCGGAAAUGAAUCUCUGCCAUGCUUUGUCGACAGGGGUGAGAACUGGUUCUUGGGAGGUGGCAAGAAGUCUUAAAUAUCACAAUGGUUUGCAGAGCUGCAAAAGCUUAGCCCUACCUGAUGAAAUCUUACUUCUUAGUGUUUAUAUUCUUCUGUUAUGGAGAAAUUUAAUGAAAAUUAGUUUACCCCUGAGGUGGUUGAAGCUUCCCACUGUUGUUCGUCCCAAGGGGCCUCCAUCUCUCUCUGGUUCCCUAUCCCUACCCACAGGGCUAUAAAUAGUCCAUUCACAGAACUGCUUUUAAAAUCCUGGCAGUGCAUGCUUGUAAUCUCAGCACUUUGGGAGGCCAAGGUGGGAGGAUAACUUGAGCCCAGGAGUUCCAGACCAGGUUGGGAAACAUAGCAAGACUCUAUCCCCACAAAAAAAUUUAAAAAGUAGCCAGGUAUGGUGGCAUGCACUUGUCCCAGCUACUCAGGAGGCUGAGGUGGGAGGAUAGCCUGAGUCCAGGAGGUGGAGGCUGCAGUGAGUCAUGAUCACACCACUGCACUUCAGCCUGGGUGACAGAGCGAGACCCUAUCUCUAAAACAAACAAACAAACAAGCAAACAAACAAAUAAAACCCUCUUGACUGUAUCUCCUGAUUCCCUGAUUCCUGCUGGACCUGGAUGAAAUUUCACAUUUAUAUAAUAGUUUAGAGUUCACAGGGUAGUUUUAGAUAGCUCAUCUUUUAAGUCCCUUCCCUAAAAGCCUGUGUGGUAAUGGGUGUGGAGUCUGAGUCUUUGUUUCUAGACAGGGACUAGCACCAAUGCUGGAGUUAAUUCUCACCUUCUGUACGAAUUCAUUUUAGAGACAUUGAUGUGUCCUGAGCAAUGGCUACUAUUUAGUUUUAAGUCUAGAUUUGUGAGACAUUUCCAUUUAAUUUUCAUUAAACAGUUUUUCAAAAAUUAUGACUAUAUGCCAAGUUGGUGUCAUUAUGUCUCUUAACUUAUAGCUAUAGUUAUUUUAAUGUGCAUAUAUUUAUUCCUUCUAUGCAAUACUUUCUGCUUGGUCCGGAGGAUUAGAAAGCAAUUUGUCAUUCUGCUUUGCACACAAUUCCCUAACUUUUGAGGGGAAAGGAGACAUCUGAUUCGACUCCCCCUAAAGUGCUGGGAUACUUAAGGUAAUUGGGGUGAGGCCAAGGCCACGGAUAGGGUUCUUUCUUUCAUCUAUUAUUUGUUCAUUCACUUGUUUAUUCAUUCAACAAGUAAGAAUGUGCCCGUACCUGCCUAAGCACCCCAUCCCAGGCAGGGAGACCUUGCUGUCUGCUGGCUGAGCUCCCUCUUGGGGCAGUGCAGGCUGGUGCACAGAGCCCUCCCACCCAACUUGGGGUAGUGCCUGCCCCCCUGGCAGGAGAUUCAGAGGCAGACAUAUCUAGGGUUGAGUCUGGACUCCACCUUGCCUCUUUUGAGAUCAUGGAUUCAACCUUGCUGGCAUGAGAGAAUUGAAAGGGAUCAUGUAUGAACAAUGUUUGGACGAAUCCCAGGCAUUUGACACACAUGGGUUCCUUCUUUUUUCCCUCUCCUGCCUCCUGUAAAUCCAGUAAGCAAUACUUAUUCAUUCCCAGGUCUGUCUCUUCUGUGGGCUCCUCCAGCAUAGGAGGAGUUAAAGGACUGAGCCCUUUCACUUGCAGGGCAGGGCCAGGAUGUUUCAUGGUUUCUUCUUUCCAGAUGUUGCAGGUGCAGGCCUGGCAUUGAGAUAAUGUCAUACAAGUGGGUGGCUUUGACUCUUUAUGUUAUCUGAUGCUCCUGCCAUCUUCCUGUCCCAGGCUCUUCUGGGUCUGCUGGACACAGCCUUUACCCCUUCUGGAUCUCACCAGGCUCCUGUUGGGGCACACCUGCUGUGUGCAAUCCUAAGAGCCUGGCUGGGAUUCUCAACACUGUUUGCAGGAGGGUUUCCUCCUCGGGGUCAGCCGGGGCCAGCAGCCAAUGCAGUUGAGAGUGCCAGCCCCCUUCCUCCUAUAGAAUGUCUAUAGUGGUCAUUCUCAACUGUGCCCUGUCCCUCUCCUCUUCCUCUGUGGGGGUAGAGACACUGUCUUGCUCAUCCUUUUAUCUUCAACUCCCAGCCCAGGGCUGGCACUGUGGCAUAACACACACACACAUAUAUAUAUAUAUAAAAUUGCAAUAUAUAUAUAUUUGAUUUUUGUCCCUAGUUUUUGGCCCAGAUUUCUUAAAAGCCUUGGGAUUUCUGGAGUAACAAGAGUGGCUUUUGUCAUUUAUAAUGAACCCCUAAUGUGGUGACUCAGGUGGGUCAUUAGAUGGUUUCAAGGCAGCGCUGGCCAUGCUUGGAGGGUUGGAACCUUCAGCUCCAUCUUCCAGCCUCUAAGGAAGGGAGAGGGGCUGCAGGCUGAGUUCAGUCACCAGUGGCCAGUGAUGGAAUCAAUCAUGCCUAUAUAAUGGAGCCUCCAUAGAAACGUCUAAAUGAUGGGGUUGAGGUGUUUCCCAGUUGGUAAACGCACUGAAGUGCUGGGAGGCUGGUGUAUCCACAGAGGGCAUGAAAGCUCCAUGCCCCGUGAUGCACCCCCAUACCUUCUGUAUGCCUCUCUUCCACUUGGCUGUUUCUGAGUUGCAGCCUCUAUAAUAAAGCUGUAAUUGUAAGUAGGGCACUUUCCUGAGUUCUGGGAGUCAUGCUAGCAAAUAAUUAUCAAACCUGAGGGUAGCCUUGGGAACCCCUGAAUUUGUAGUCAGCAGAGCAGAAGUGCCGGCUCCCUGGGACUCUGUUUUUGGUUGGUGUCUGAAGUGAGGGCAGUCUUGUGGGAUUGAACCCUUUAACUCUUUCUGACACUCUGGGGAGGCAGUGUCAGAAUUGAGCUGAAUUGUUGGACACCCAGUUGUUGGUGGAGACAAAUUGAAGAGGUGGUGUGGAAAACAUGUGUUUGGUGUCAAAAUACACACACACAUUUGGUGUGAGCUGUGGUGGUAGAAAACACCACACACCACACAGUAGGAACUUAAUGAGUAUGUUUUGAAUGAAUUCAUGAAAAAUACAAGCAUUUAUUGAGUGCUGACCCACUGUCAGGCUGUGUGUUUGGAUACAGGUGAUAGAAACAAGGUUCUUGUCUUUGAAGCAGUCCCUGAUGUUAGGAGGACUGACCAACCAUGGCCAUUGUAAUGGGGUGGGGGUGGGGAUACACUAGGAGUUAAUCUAGGGGGCUGUGGGAGCCCAGAGGGGCGGGCUGUUUCUAAGAAAGUCUCAAGAUGCAGUAUGAGCUGACUUUUUGAAGAUGAGAAGCCACACCUCAAAUGGAUGAAUAAGGGUGGUUGUUGCAAGAGGGGAAAUAGCACAUGCAAAGGCUGAGACCAUGAAGCGUGUGUGUGUGUGUGUAUUUAUGUGUGUAUGUGUGUGUGUGUGUGUGUUUGUGCGUGUGGGGCAGGGGGCAGCUGCCUGUGGCUCCAGAUGGCUGCAGUGCAGGGAGAAUGCGGGAUAGAGAGGGAGGGCAGGCAGGGCAGGCAGAGACGACCACAUAGGUUCUGUCAAAUGCUGAUACGCCCCUGCAGUCUUUCCAGAGGGGUCCUUUUUCCAAGCAAGGUAUGUGCUGAGGCAUCUUCCAUCAGGACCGCUCCAUCUUCUGGGGUGCUCAGACCUUAAUUCGCACCUUGAUAAUGGCAGUGGCCUUACCGCUCCAUCUUGUUUGCAUCUGUCCACUCCAUUUAAACACAAACUCCCCAUAGAGGACUUAACUUGGUGCCAGGCACAGAGUCAGGGCUUCAUGUGAUUUUUAAAACUGGAAUUGACACAUUUUGGCAACGAUCUUCUUUUUUUAAAAGGUGAAGCUCUUUUAUUUUGCCUCAUUUAUUAGACUUCCCUGCCACUGCCUUGGGGUUAUGCACACAAAUAAAAUAUGCAGCAGGAAACUGCCUCUCUUGUUUUCUUUCUUUGCUUUCACCUAAUUUCAACUCCUUGUCAAGUCUUCUUACAUCGACCUGUUCCUCACAGAAGCUGCCUCAGGCGGCCUCCUGGCCCUCUCCUGGGAGAUCCAUCCCUCUUCUUUAAUCAUGGAGAGCAGGCCCAUGAGUCUCUCUGCCAUUCAGCUCUGAGCAUCUUCCUGCCACACUUUCCCGGGUGGCUCCCCUGGGGACUUGCUCUUCCCUGUCCACUUAGGAAGAUGCAAGAUGGUCUCAUGGUCUAAGUGGCAGCUUUUCUUAGACAGGUAAGUUCCCUGAGGCUUUAAACUGUACACUCUCAAUGUGAGUUUAAAUGAAGCUUCUAAACCCUGGUCCAUCUUGUGGCUAAAGUCA